CCUGGAUAUGUGACCAUUGUGAACCGGCACAAUUAAUCAUGUCACAGCACCACUCACCCGCACUAUGGGACCCAAGCACCAGGAAACCGCACCCGUACACAGUCAUACUCGGCCUCCCGUGGCUCCAACUCCAUAACCCCAUCUCCUGGUCAAAGAUGAGAAUCACCGCCUGGGGACCAAGCUGCUGGAGGACCUGCUUUCCCGCACCCUUUGGUUUCACACCGUUAGAGGGUCAUGCGAGUCUCCUCCAGCCUAUAAAGCCAUCCUCCUGUAUUGUUGGCUCAGUGUUUUGGAACGUAGAUGUGGACAGCCGCCAGGCUCUGGAGAGAGAAUCCACUCCUGCCAUCUGCCCUCCAGAGCGCAUCUACAUCCCUACGGGGUGAGAGAUUGGCUGUUGACCUGGGAACACAUUCUUCGCCGCUGUACACCCAGGUAUCACCCGCACCAUCCAAUCCCUCUCCGAUAAAUACUGGCCGCCCACUUGGUGCAGGACGUCGCCCACUGUGUCAACUCAUGUUCGGUAUGUACUCAAUCAAGAUCUCCCGGCAUGCUCCAGCAGGUCGCUGAAGCACUAUUCCAGCAGGUCUUCUGGCACUAUGGCCUUCUGGAAGACAUCAUCUGGGGAGGUUCCUAAGGAGUCACUGCCGGGACCGGUAGGGGGAGUGGGCCCAAGUUCCUUCCCUGGGCGGAAUACGCCCAGAACUCACUUCGUCACUCCACCACCAGGCUGACUCUCAGUGCAUCCUGGGAUAUCAGCCGGCCCCUGGUUCCUUGGACUCCGAGCCAAAAGAGGCCCCUGCAAUUGAAGCGUGGUUCCGCCGUCAGAAGGAUCAGGCGGUCCACCACCGCAGUGAGGCUCCCGUGUUCCAUCCUGGUGAUCACGUCUGGCCCUCCAUCAGGAACCUCCCGUUCCACCUGCCGGAAGCUGAGCCCCUGGCUUGUGGGGCCCUUCAAGGUCCUCCGGAGGGUCAAUGAGGCUGGUGGUUCCUGGUCCCCUGGCUGAUGCUAUCCCCUGUGAUACCCCUCCCCUGGACUUCGAGGACCCCCACUUAUGCUGUUAGGUCUCUCCAUGACUCCCAAUGUUGUGGGGGUCGGCUCCAAUACCUGGUGGAGUGGGAGGGGUACAGUCCUGAUGAGCGCUCUUGGGGCCCAGUGGCGGACAUCCCAACGUCAUCCAUUGCUGUCGUUCGGCCCGCUCCUCGCCCUUGGGGCCGUC
ensembl:lncRNA